CCCCAAUAUGAUUAACGAACUUGCACAAAUUAUAUGGAUUCUUUUCUCUGAAAAAUGUCUUUGUUCUGAAAAACAUCAGAUCAAAAGAAACCAUAGCGAAAAUACACGAACAAAAACACCUCAAAUAUCUUCAGCAGAACAAGUAGUGAUCAACAAAAUACAGUCCAAUGAAAUUGGCUUACUGUUUAUUGUAUUACAAUGAAGUGAUUUUAUCAUAUAACAUUGGAUAUCAGAUACCACCAAAUUGGAUGGUACAAAUGUAAAUUUUAUCUUAAAGAUGUCUUGUACAAGGUAUCGAAACAUGAUCAAGAAACACUCCAGGGAAUCAUUAUUUGCACGUAAUGAUUGACAUUUAUUGGAGUUGAUCACACACGCAUAAUGGAAAUCACUUGAAAUCUAAACUAACAGAGAGCCUUCCAUCACAGUAAUAGCUUUUCCUCGCAGCUGCACUCUCUGAUUCUGCUUGUCUACAUGAAUGUUCAAGAUCCCACUUCUUGGUGAUGCCUGAGUCAGGUAAAAUGUAAUCAACAUAUAACAAUUAGAAGGAAUAUGAAUAGACAUAAAUUAGAGAGAAAUGGGUGCAAAGAGAGUACCGCAUAAGCCACAAAAUCACACUUUCCAAGCUUUUGACUCCAAUAGGUUGCCAAAGCACAAUGUGCACUCCCACAAACGGGAUCCUGAUAUAAACAAGUCAUGUACAUAUAAGACUGUUAUUAGAACUGUUUCAAUAUUGACAGAGUUUUUGAAAAUUAUUUCCAUCUUACUUAUUGGAUCCUAAACUACAGUACCAUACAUUAAAGAAAGUUCUUUGUUCUCUUACAUAGACACAUUACUUCAAAUGCCAAAAAUCCUUCUUGAAAUCAAAACAGAGCAAUCUACACUAGACUUUAGAGGCAAUAUAUGUUUCGAAGUUAGCAAAUGGGUGAAAAGCUAGUAGGAAAGGAGCAAUAAUUUUGUUCACUUUCAGCUGUAACAUUUCACUCAAUUUGCAGGCCUUAUUACUCAUCAGAUUUUCUAAAACAGAAACGAUAUUCAAUGCACAUCUCCAUGUAGCAUGAGUUAUGACAAAUGUACAUGCUCAUAAUACAGUAGUAUAUAAACUCAUUCAUUAAAACCAACGAGUUAUUACCUCAUUGAUGCCAAAUUUAGGGCAGAAGAAUCGGCUAUAAAAAUCAAAUCCAGACUCUGGAGGAGCAAGCCCUGAAACAAUUAUGCCGCUUCCAGGACAUUUUCGUAUUUGAUCAAACUGUGGCUCCACGUCUGUAACAGAUUUCGCCGAUGGGAGCACGACCUGCAUAUUGUAGCCAACUUCAUUCAGAACAACUACUAACACUAUAUCCAAAUGAGUAAAGGGUUAAAAGAAAUUACAAAGAUAUCUUCUGAGGUAGUUGUUAUCUUCAUAUCCAUGACUGAAGAAACACUCAAAGCCUUAUGAAUUAAUGAAACCUCAGAAAAAUUGAAAUCAGUAGUUGGAACUGUAGGAAAAUCCAAUUCAAUAAAAUAGCACUCUCGUGCUUCGCCUUUCUGUGAAUUAGAGUCAUUCAUCGCCUUAACAUCUGGAACUUUUUUGGCUGUUAGAAUUCCAGACAGUGUGGCAAAUUCAAUUAUGUUGGAGUUUACCAAACCUCUCGAAAAAAGAGUGUGUGCAGCUGCUAAUGUUGCAUGACCACAAAGUUCAACCUGCAAAAAACUUAUCCUGAAAUUAAAAUACACUCUCCUUUGUGUUGGAGUAAGUGUCAUAUACAUAAAAAACUAUAACAUGAACACAUGAAAAUCUAUGAAGCUUAAUGAUCAGAAAUAAUAUCAUUCAAGAUAAAAAUUUAGCUAUAAUCUUCCUUCAGAACUAAAAGAAGCAUAGCACAUAAAUAAGAGUAAACAUUCCACAAUGAUGGAAUGAUGAAAAAACUAAAACCCCAUGAAAUAAGAUAAAUCAUCAAGCUCCAGAACUGAGCCAAAUAGCUUCAUCCACAACUUAUAAUUAUAAAAACUGAAACUGACCUCAGCAACAGGAGUGAACCAUCUAAGACGGAACCUCGGAUUAGGAGAUUCAGCAUCAGUAAGGCGAGUCAAGUAACAGGUCUCGGAGAUAUUGAACUCAGAAGCCACAGCUUGUAGCCAUUCUUCAUCUCUAUCUUCCUCUAACAAACAAACCGCUGCUGGGUUCCCCUUGAAAGCUGAGUCGGUAAAAGCAUCCACCUGUCAAAGCAACAAAAAGAACCCAGUCCCAUUCAACCACAACGGAACAUCAAUCUAUAAAUACAAAAGAGGAGAUUACUAUUAGUUACCACAGAAUAUUGUACGAGCUUCUUGGCCAUGUUGCAGAAUAAAGAAUGAAGUUUAGAGUUUGACACGUGAAACUUGGAGUUGCAAAAGGUGAAGAGCUGAAACCCGAAACUGAGAUGAAAGAAAUGGUCAACACCUAACAGCCGCCAACCUACUGUCUUUUUCUUUAUAUUUUUUUUCCUUUUUUUCCACGGUUCUUCCCCUCUCGGACGCUUGCCACAUUCGAUUGGACUGUGCAUGAUACAAUAAGAUUUGUUUUUCUUAUAAUUAUCUUGUAUUCUGCCUACUACAACCAACUGAUUAACUUAAUUUAUAAGAAAAGAAAUUUCUUAAAUUACAUUUAUUGUAAAGAGCAGAAUCAAGUGAGGCAACGGAUAAAUUUUAUUUGACAGUGAAUUAUAUUAAAUAUAAUUUAGAGAGAUUCAUAAGAAAAUGAGCCCCAAUAUGAUUAACGAACUUGCACAAAUUAUAUGGAUUCUUUUCUCUGAAAAAUGUCUUUGUUCUGAAAAACAUCAGAUCAAAAGAAACCAUAGCGAAAAUACACGAACAAAAACACCUCAAAUAUCUUCAGCAGAACAAGUAGUGAUCAACAAAAUACAGUCCAAUGAAAUUGGCUUACUGUUUAUUGUAUUACAAUGAAGUGAUUUUAUCAUAUAACAUUGGAUAUCAGAUACCACCAAAUUGGAUGGUACAAAUGUAAAUUUUAUCUUAAAGAUGUCUUGUACAAGGUAUCGAAACAUGAUCAAGAAACACUCCAGGGAAUCAUUAUUUGCACGUAAUGAUUGACAUUUAUUGGAGUUGAUCACACACGCAUAAUGGAAAUCACUUGAAAUCUAAACUAACAGAGAGCCUUCCAUCACAGUAAUAGCUUUUCCUCGCAGCUGCACUCUCUGAUUCUGCUUGUCUACAUGAAUGUUCAAGAUCCCACUUCUUGGUGAUGCCUGAGUCAGGUAAAAUGUAAUCAACAUAUAACAAUUAGAAGGAAUAUGAAUAGACAUAAAUUAGAGAGAAAUGGGUGCAAAGAGAGUACCGCAUAAGCCACAAAAUCAC
rnacentral:lncRNA from 1 species